rnacentral:sRNA from 1 species
CACCUCUCCAAGGGUGACCUCGCCCGGCAA